GACGAACGCUGGCGGCGUGCUUAACACAUGCAAGUCGUACGGUAAGGCCCUUUCGGGGGUACACGAGUGGCGAACGGGUGAGUAACACGUGAGUAACCUGCCCACAACUUUGGGAUAACGCUAGGAAACUGGUGCUAAUACUGGAUAUGUGCUCCUGCUGCAUGGUGGGGGUUGGAAAGCUCCGGCGGUUGUGGAUGGACUCGCGGCCUAUCAGCUUGUUGGUGGGGUAGUGGCCUACCAAGGCGGCGACGGGUAGCCGGCCUGAGAGGGUGACCGGCCACAUUGGGACUGAGAUACGGCCCAGACCCCUACGGGAGGCAGCAGUGGGGAAUAUUGCACAAUGGGCGCAAGCCUGAUGCAGCAACGCCGCGUGCGGGAUGACGGCCUUCGGGUUGUAAACCGCUUUCAGCAGGGACGAAGCUUUUUGUGACGGUACCUGCAGAAGAAGCACCGGCUAACUACGUG
rnacentral:rRNA from 1 species